rnacentral:ncRNA from 2 species
UUAGGUAUGCGUAACUGGCGAAACGUGGAGUACCACGGGGGAGCGCAUACUUCAUAUGGCCGGUCGCCUGGGCAGAGGUA